rnacentral:lncRNA from 1 species
CGAGAAUCGAGCUCCCAACUCCAGGAUUGCCUCAUAUGCCCAAAUCUGCAUGACAUUUAUAACAGUAAUAAACAUAUUUGGAGGUAAAUAGCAAUGUGUGAUGAAAAGAACUGAAAUGAACCAAAGUAGAUGUAUACCUGGACAGCAAGAGGGAAUUCGUACAACGUGUAAGUCAUCCUAUCACAAUCGUUCACUUUUGCCAUGUCCGCCUUUCUUCCCCAUCCACGUAGUAGUGAUUUGAUAAGAAGUUGAAAACGUACCUUCCCCUAUGGAGAAGCAUUGAAGAAAUCCAAGUCGUCAACGAUGGAAAGAGUUGUCAGAUGUAUUCCUACAUUUCAGUCUCUUGAAUUAAAU